rnacentral:rRNA from 1 species
UACGGGGGGGGCAAGCGUUGUUCGGAAUUACUGGGCGUAAAGGGCUCGUAGGUGGCCAACUAAGUCAGACGUGAAAUCCCUCGGCUUAACCGGGGAACUGCGUCUGAUACUGGAUGGCUUGAGUUUGGGAGAGGGACGCGGAAUUCCAGGUGUAGCGGUGAAAUGCGUAGAUAUCUGGAGGAACACCGGUGGCGAAGGCGGCGUCCUGGACCAAUACUGACACUGAGUGAGCGAAAGCCGGGGAGCAAACGGG